rnacentral:rRNA from 1 species
UACGAGAGGCCCAAACGUUAUUCGGAAUUACUGGGCUUAAAGAGUUCGUAGGCGGCGCAGAAAGUAGGGUGUGAAAGCCCUCGGCUUAACCGAGGAAUUGCGCUCUAAACUACUGUGCUUGAGGAACCUAGAGGUGAGCAGAACUGAUGGUGGAGCGGUGAAAUGCGUUGAUAUCAUCAGGAAUACCGGAGGCGAAGGCGGCUCACUGGGGGUUUUC